rnacentral:rRNA from 1 species
GGUUUUUUGAAAUAUAAUUUAAGAUUAGUUCUGCUCAAUGACUUAAGUUAAAUAGCCGCAGUAUUUUGACUGUGCAAAGGUAGCAUAAUCAAUUGUUUUUUAAUUGAGAACUGGGAUGAAGGAAUUGAUGAAAUUAAGACUGUCUAUUAUAAAAUAUAAGAAUUUAAAUUUUAAGUUAAAAUUCUUAAAUGAAAUUAUGGGACGAGAAGACCCUAUAGAAUUUGAUAUAAUUUUUUAAAAUAUAAAAAUAUAAUAAAUAAAUUUAAUAAAUUUAAUAUUUUAUUGGGAGGAUAAUUAAAUUAAAUUAACUUUAAGUUUAGAAUUAAACAUUAAUUUAUGAAAAGAUUGAAUAAUUUUUUAAUAAAAAUAAAAUUAAUAGAAAAUUAAUUACCUUAGGGAUAACAGCGUAAUAUUUUUAAAAAGAUCCUAUUGAUAAAAAUGUUUGCGACCUCGAUGUUGAAUUAAAGUAAAAGUUAAAUGGAGAAGUUUAAUAUUUUAGUCUGUUCGACUAUUAAAAUUUUA